CCCAUAAAAAGUACCUGGGUAUAUCCAAAGUUAAUAAUGUAAGUUUGUAAAACAGGCUAAUUUGCGCAAGAGAGUACAAAUUGAGUGCGCGGUUUGGCACCUCGAUGUCGGCUUAGCUCAUCCACAUGAAUGUAGAAAUCAUGAAGGGUACGACUGUUCGUCGGUUAAAGAGCUACACGAGCUGGGUUUAAUACGUCGUGAGACAGUAUGGUUUCUAUCUUCUAGAGGUAAUUAGAGUCUAAUAUAGAUAGCCCCUUCGUACGAAAGGAGUUGGGUAUGCUGACCUAUGGUUUACCUGUUGUUUAACUUUGAUAUUUUAUAUAUCCUAUACUACUUUCACUUAAGUAGUAUUGUUUAUUAAGCAUGGCAGGAAAGCUAAGUCAGUUAGAGAUAAGUGCUGAAUGCAUUUAAGCGCGAAGCUUACUAUACUAUACAACAAAGUGAAUUGAAAUAUCUUAAUAACUUUAGGAAAAAAAAUCAAACGAGAUUUUAUUAUUAGUGUAAACUAAUAUAAAAAAGCUUACAAGUAAAAUGGAAAAUAUCUGUUUGAAUAUAGGGGAACCUUCCUCUAAAGCUAAAUAUAAUAUAUAAGCGAUAGCGAAUAGUACCGUGAGGUAUAGAUAGAAAUAGUAGUUUUAUAAGCAGCUCAAAAAAAAAUUUAAAUAAAUAAUACGAGCGGACCUUUUGCAUAAUGGGUCAGCAAGUUAAACUUAGAUGCAAGCAAAUAAAAAUUAUUUGCCUAGAUAAACCAAUUAUGAAAAAAUGAUAAGUAUCUAAAUUUAGACCCGAAGGCUAGUGAUCUUACCAUGAUCAGGCUUAAGGCCGAACGGGUUAUCGUUGUAAAGAUAUCCGAUGAAUUGUGGUAAGUUGGUGAAAGACAAAACUGACUAGUAUAGCUGGUUUUCCGCGAAACCUAUGUGAGUAGGUAAUUUAAUUAACAUCUUAGCAGGUACAGAACUAGGAUCUCGGACAAUAUGAAAAUUUUGUACACAUCGGGGGAUCGUGAUGAUUUUAUCGGAGAGUAUUUGCACUCGAAAGGGCAAAGAUGAAUAUUGAAUAAUCGGACAUAGUGCGAUAAGGUUGUAUGUCUAAAGGGAAACAGCCCUGAACAAGAGUUAUAAGGUUCCAAAAUUAUUAUUGAGUGAAAUUAAGGAUGUACUUAUCAAAUACAACCAGGAAAUAGGCUUAGAAGCGGCCAUUUUUUGAAGAUCUCGUAACAGAGCACUGGUUAAUAAAAAAAAUUUUUUUAGAUAGAUAUUUAUACCGAAAAUUUAACGGAUCUAAAUAAUAUACCGAAACCUUGUUCGUAUAUAUUAAUAUAUACUAUUAUUUAUUUAUUUAAAUAUAUAUAUAUAUAUAUGAGGUAGCGGAACAUUGGAUAAAUAUUAGAUUUUUUCUUUUUUAAGAUAAAAAAAAUAUAUAAGAAUCCAAGAGAGAAUGCUGGCAUGAGUAACGAAAAAGGAUUUAACAUCCUCGCCUUAAGCUUAUGGUAUUUUAUUUAAAUUUCGGUGUCUAAGUAAGAGGUUUAAUAAGUAAAACAAGUAAUUGUUUGAAAAAAACUUCUCCGAAUGGAUUUAAUUACGAUGAUAUAAAUAGAAAUAGAUUAGAGAAAAAACCUUUAUAAAGUGUUAAAGGUUCAGGAAAUUAUAUCUAAUCAAAUAAGGAAUCUGAACAAAUAUGAAGAGUAAGAUUCCUUUAUAAACCGUACCUAAAUACUAACACAAGUAAGCAAGUAGAGUAUACAAAGGCGUUUGAGUGAACAAUCAUUAAGGAACUCGGCAAAUUGACUCCGUAACUUCGGGAUAAGGAGGGCCGUUAUUACAGAAAAAUUUUUUUUUUCUGUUAAAUAAGAGGAAACAUAAAAUAAUGUUGUACGACUGUUUAAUUAAAACAAAUCACUCUGCAAAGAUUAAAAAUCAAAGUAUUGAGUGUGAUGUCUGCCCAAUGUCGGUUGUAUAACUGAGAUACUUAAUUUAAAAGGUUAGGUUUUGAAGGACACCCCGAUCAAUGGCGGCCUUAUCUAUAAGGGUCCUAAGGUAGCGGAAUACCCUGGCCGUUAAAUGCGGUCUUGCAUGAAUGACUUAACGAUACAACAGCUGUCUCGAUGAUUGGCUCAGUGAAAUUGGAAUAGCAGUGCAGAUACUGCUUAACUCUAGGUAGACGAGAAGACCCUAUGCAGCUUUACUGUUACCUUUUAUGAAUAUAGUAAGUCAAUUGUGAGUGUAUAAGGUAAUUGUUCGGUAAAAUUGAAACACCUUUAUUUAAACUAUUAUAUUCUUUAUGACUGGAAGACAGUUUAUGCGGGGCACAGAU
rnacentral:rRNA from 1 species